GAGUUUGAUCCUGGCUCAGAACGAACGCUGGCGGCGUGCUUAACACAUGCAAGUCGAACGCGAAAGGGACUUCGGUCCUGAGUAAAGUGGCGCACGGGUGAGUAACGCGUGGAUAAUCUACCCAAUGGUCUGGGAUAACAUUUCGAAAGGGGUGCUAAUACCGGAUAAGACCACGGAGUCUCUGGACUCUGCGGUAAAAGGUGGGGACCUUCGGGCCUACCGCAAUUGGAUGAGUCCGCGUACCAUUAGCUAGUUGGUAGGGUAAAGGCCUACCAAGGCUACGAUGGUUAGCUGGUCUGAGAGGAUGAUCAGCCACACUGGAACUGAGACACGGUCCAGACUCCUACGGGAGGCAGCAGUGGGGAAUUUUGCGCAAUGGGGGAAACCCUGACGCAGCAACGCCGCGUGAGUGAUGAAGGCCUUCGGGUCGUAAAGCUCUGUCAGAGGGGAAGAAAUGCGGGGUGCUAAUAUCACUUCCGCUUGACGGUACCCUCAAAGGAAGCACCGGCUAACUCCGUGCCAGCAGCCGCGGUAA
rnacentral:rRNA from 1 species